GGCCGGUUAGCUCAGUGGUUUGAGUGCGGUGCUGACAACAAUGACAACACCGAGAUUGCGGGUUCAAUUCCUGCCCGGUCC
rnacentral:tRNA from 1 species